GGAUCUCUUGGUUCUCGCAUCGAUGAAGAACGCAGCGAAAUGCGAUAAGUAGUGUGAAUUGCAGAAUUCCGUGAGUCAUCGAAUCUUUGAACGCACAUUGCGCCU
rnacentral:rRNA from 1 species